GACUCUCAAAAACUCUAGCAGCCUAUCAAAUGAGAAAUUUUCAUAAAAUCAGUGCGUUCAAAUCUAAUAAAUGGCAUGAUUUACUCUGAAUUUUAGAACCUCCAAUAAGACCAUAGGCUAAAAAAAAAAGCACAAAUGCAUAUCUUGAUAAUUAAAAAAAAUGCACAUCAUCCUUCAUCCCUUUUCCCACCUUCUUACCCUGAUAUAUAAUAAUACAUUAAAAGAACACCAUCCAAAAUCUGAGAUGUAUAUUUUCUUAGUUGACAGAGGGUUAGAGUUGCAUCAUAUAUUCAGAGUUCAAUAUAUAACGUCUCACAAAAGAGGCUUAUUCUGAUCAAUGUACAAGCACAUCUGUAACAGUCAGCACAUUGCAUAUUGGACAGAUAAUUAGGAUGACAAAGGUCUGACUUAUGGCACUCGUCUAGGUAAUUAAUUCCCUUGUUACCUCACUAGGUGAGAGAGCAUCCU
rnacentral:misc_RNA from 1 species